ACGGAGGGUGCGAGCGUUAAUCGGAAUUACUGGGCGUAAAGGGCGCGUAGGUGGCCAGAUUAGUCGGGUGUGAAAGCCCCGAGCUUAACUCGGGAAUUGCAUUCGAUACUGUCUGGCUAGAGUGCAGUAGAGGGAAGCGGAAUUCCGGGUGUAGCGGUGAAAUGCGUAGAUAUCCGGAGGAACACCAGUGGCGAAGGCGGCUUCCUGGACUGACACUGACACUGAGGCGCGAAAGCGUGGGGAGCAAACAGG
rnacentral:rRNA from 1 species